rnacentral:misc_RNA from 1 species
UGGUGCCCGGCUUGGCUCAAUAUC